AAGGUCUUGGGCACCCUGAUGGGUUGCAUUCCUUAGGAGUUCCAAAGGCACCAGUUCCCAAAUAAGCUCAUCCGUAUGCCUGGACUUUUGCCCCUUUCCCCUCACAGCAUCCCUGGGAUGUUGCUGACAGUGAAAAAUCAUUAGCCCCAUUCUGCAGGUGGGGAAAUGAAGGAGACACCUGCCCUGGAACCUUGAAGUGUGGCGAGUCCACCAGUGGUUCCCUAACUAGGAGGCGCCUGAGACCUCAUCCCUCCUUAUGAUUCACAAGGGUACAGAGGCCCUGAGUGGGUGUCUGCCAUCAUCACAAAGGGCAGCAGUGUACAGUUAGUCAGUGCUAGAACCCACACCUCUUGACACCAGUGCCCGUUCCUUCCUCUGCACCCCAUGCCAAUGAGCCUGGAAUUCUCUAAAGAGAGCACAGUUCUCUGGCACCAGCCAUGCAGCUCCUCAUUUCCCCUACCUGCUCUCUUGGCAGCUUGGGACAGAGACCCCAUGACAUUUACCUGGGGGAACACUCCCUCUUCCCCGGGCCUGGGCCUGGGCCUGCCCCCUCCAUCUUUGCUUGGUCCCGUCUGGGCCAACACCCUUCUGCCCCAGCAUUCAGACUUGCCAGCUCUCUCUCUGCCUCCACAUGGGCCUCAGUGCCUGUGGAGCUUCCUGCUUUCUGUUCCAGGGUCACACUUAGACUCCUCCUCUGGGGUCCCACCCUGAAGGCAAAGCUGUGGGUAGCAGGGCUGUGGACAAUCAGGUGUGGUGGCAAGUUCCAACCAGAAUGGCAAAGCUGGCUGGCUCUCCUCCAAAGAAUGAGGGGUUCAGCCCUCAGAUGACACCAAGAGACAGUCAGAGGAAGCCCUGAGAAUGGCCCAGGGUUCCCAGUGCUGGCUGGGCAGCUGCCCCUGCUGCUCAGGCCAGAGCCAGCUCCUGUGCUGGCGGGAAUUCCAAAGCUCCCCACACAUGAGCUCAUGGAUGGCCGCCUGCCCAGCCUCGCAGUUCAUGGCUUUGGAAUGCGUUCUCUGAGCUGGCCUGCUUCAGUUCCCCCCAUCUCGCCGCAGCAAGUACUGCUGCCUGCUCUUGGCCCUUCAAAGCCAGGCAAAUCCCAUCAAGAGCUUUUUUCUAAAACUGCCGGAUGGUGCAAGCACAUACAUGCACAUGCAUGUGUACGUGCAAGCAGCAUGCAGACAAAGCAUCCUGUGUGCAUGGAUGAGUUCGUGUGCACCUGUCUGUAGCAUGGCUGGGCAUAUGUGUGCAUAUGUGUAUGUCGUGUGUGUGUAUUCUGUGCAUGAGUAGUUUUAAAAGAACAUAGUGGGAUCCGCUUGGGGCCUUGUGUAGCUGAACCUUAUUUAUAGCUCUCCUCUGUCUGGUUCGUUUCCUCUAACUUCCCUGCAGAAUGAUAUGAAUGAAAAUGACACUAUUGACUAUCUUGGUAACCAUAAAAGACCUUAUAGAAAUAAGAUUUUUAUAGUUUGUGGACUGGGAGAAUCAAAAGACUAAGAGUUAUGGACUCGGAGGAUAGGAGAGAACCAAGCUGAGCCGGUCGGAGAGGUCCCGUGGUGGAUCGUCUGCAGGUUUUUUAAACAAAUUCAUAUAAAUAAAGUGAUUGUCUUGAAAGAGUUAGGAGAGCCCUGAAGCUGGUGGGCAAUAUCUCCCUGGCCUCUGCAAAGGCAGGAGGGCGGGCGAGCUGUCUGCCUGAGAGGAAACCCUCGCUUUGUCUGAGUUCCGGCUCCCGGCCUCCCAAGGGAGGCUACGGAGGCAGCAGCAGAACCUACCUGCCCUUUGUUCUGCAGAGGCAUAGAAUUUGGCAGUGCUGGGAGAAGAGCCCCAGGGCUAACCCCGCAGCAGGCUAAUGGGAAUGUGAAGACCCAGCGUGGAGAGCCAGCCCCUGAGGCUGAGCCUGCAGAUUCUGGGGCCACCGCUUCUCCAUGUUUGAAUGCAAAGGACCUUCCCACCCCAUGAAGAGUGAGCAUUUGAUCCCUGCACAGGGACUUGCCCAGACCCUUCACGGGAACCCACAACAGCAACCCUGCUUAGAGAGCUCCUGCCUGAGCAGGUCCCUUUUAGCAAAUUCUGGACCCGGGUCCACAGAGCUCUACCAGCUCCCACUUUGUAUUUGUGCUUUCAGAGAUGAGGCAGAGCUCACCCUGCCCUCAAGGAGCUCCCUACCUGGUUUGGAGGGUGGAGAAGGGAGGGGUGGGCAGGAAGACAUUCCUGCAACAGACUGAUAUGUGGAAACCAGGGCACACUCUCCCACUCAGGCACACAGGUUUGCAGGUACACAGGUGGGCAGGUAGAGACACAGAGCGGUGUUGAAACAGUGAUGAAAUUUCUGAUGCUGUUCAUCCCAACAAGCUCCAUGCUGGGCUCUGGGUGCAUAAAGCUGAGUCAGACUCAGUCCCAACCCUAGAGGGGUUGCCCUCACCCAGAGGGCAGGGGGACAGAUCCUCACUAUGUUGUAAGUUAAGGGCUGAAUUGCACAGUUCUCCAGGGAGCACGGAUUACCUCGGCCUUGUGGGAUAAAGCUCCUCAAAAGAGGAGAUGUUUCCACAGAGCCUGGAAAGACAGGUCAGAGCUCACGAGACAGAGCAGGAAGAGAGGGCCUGCCUGGCAGGGAAAAUGGCAAACACAAAGGCCUGGAGGUGGAAAUGUACAAGGCGCAUUUGGGAAACCGCUCGGGUGUCCAAAAGGUUUGCUGGCUGGCAAGAGGAGGGUACCUUUUGAAAGGAAUAUUAGAAGCAGCUCUUGAGUCAGGGAGGAGGGACCAUCUGGUCCAGGGGUCCAGGCAGUGGCAGUGGCAGUGACACUGUCAGAGUCAGAAAGUCAAGGAAAGAUGGGAAAGGCUUCUCUCUAGCUUUCUCUCUGAAGACUUCUUACCAUUGCUAUUCCUGCCUUUACAGACAAAGAACGGGACAGCACCCUUAGCAGCUGACCAGCCAUCAGCCAGGCUCUCCCGGUGCCUCUCCUUCACUCUCCCCUCUUAUUCCCAUAUCCCCACCCUCCAGCCCCACCCUAGACCACUGGGGCAACACCAGGUCCAUGGCCUCUUCUACCUUGAAAGGAACAAUUCUAGAAACCAGAGAAAGCCAUCUGGUUGGGCUGCCCAUCAGAAAUAACUGCCAGGCAUUGAUUUCUCUCCUUCCUGACCUUUCAGAAGAGGCGCUCUGAAUUCCAUGCCAGGUCAUUACAAAGCUGGUGGCGGAGAGUCUGGGAGACCCAGCCCCACUGGCUGCCGCCCCUUCAGAUGCAUAUGGGAGAGCAGUCUGGCCGUCACCCACCGGCCUGGCCCAUGCUGUCAGUCCGCCAGAGCCAGAGCAUGUCUGAAUCAAGGAAAGCUGACUGGGGCUCGAUUCACACUGACUGGAGCCGCAAGGCGAGUUUAUGGUUCUUGAUUACACCCAGCAGGGAGGCCUUCUUAGUGAUGAGAGAGAAAAUAUUCAACAACCUGUCUUUGCAAUGUGCUGAUCUCUUGGAGAGAGAGAGAGAGAGAGAGAGAGAGAGAGCGCAGAAAAAGUGGGGGAGGGGGUUGAAAGAGAGUGAUUUUUCUGAUAUGAGUGGAAAUAAGAGAUUUUUUAAAUCCAGGGCUCCCCCAAACUACCUCAACAUUGCCUCUUUCUCAUCCUUGGGUUUUGCUUUGCUAUAACUUUGAGGCACAGUGAUUGCACCCUGUGGGCUUCUGCAAGCUGGUGCAAAGCUUAAAAGGAUGCAGGCCCCAAAGGUGUUGUGGUCUGUCCAGCCUUCACUCAGCAUGGCCUCAUAGCUGGGAGAGGACCUGGACAGCACGGCCUGCAGAGGCUCGGGGCAGCCCAAUCCCCAUGCCCCUUCUCUCCUUCGCAGCCCUUUGCACAUUCUGCUUCAUAGUCAGACUGCAUCUGCUUGUGCUCGGCGCCCAAACACAGUGUCUGGCUCAUGCUUGGUGUUAAUAAAUGAACAAAUUCGUGAACGGGUAUGCAUCUACUCUCCUUUCCCAGGCUGUGCCUCCCAAAGCCCCCAUCCAGUAACCUACACAAAGUCAGCCCUGAUGAUGUGUCGGAAUGAAUCGGUGAGUAAAUAACAUGGUCCACACCCUGUAGAGCCUGGGUGCUCUCCCUGCACUGUUUCACCCUGUAUGUUGUUUCUGCUGAAGCUCACUCUGGUUUUAAAUGGCACAUCCUAGGCCCCCAGAAAAUGGGAUGCUAAGAGAAGAAAGGGACUUUUCUGAAGACAACACUUUCAGUUGCUUCUUAAUAAUUCAUAGGAACCAGAGUUUUAAACCACUGGAUCUGAAAACACCUCCCAGCAGACGGUCACUGAGCAUGUGGUUGGGGGAGAGAAAGAGCCCCAAUCUCCUCCUUCCCAAGGCAACAGAAAGGAGUCUAGGGGCUGGCCAUAUUCCCUUUUCUCCUCUCCCUCACCUCCUCUCUCUGUCCCCUCAGCUUCCCUGGGGCUCUCCUAUGGCCCAACUAAGUCUCCUGCCACUUCCCUUUCUGCCUCCCCACUUGAGGGAUGGGGAAGGCAUCUCAGAAGAAAGAAGGCACCCUUAUCUUCAUAGAAACAACAGGAUUCCAGCCUCCAGGAUGUAUCCCGGGUUCCUGUCCCCGAGGCAGGAGGGAGCCAGUGAGUGGGGGGAGGUGAUACCAGGCUUGCCACCUGCCAUCACCAGCAGAAGUGAGAGGAGUCCAGCCCAGAUCAGACCCCCACGGGAACCUUGCAAAAGCAUCAAAGCCUGCAAGCUCAGUGUCUCUGUCCCGGAGAGAGGCCUUGGCACUUUCUCCCCACUGAGGCAGGCUGAGUUAGCCAGCUGGGGUGCUCUCCGAGCUGCCAGGGGGGCAGCCCCGCCCCCCGAACCCCAGAACUGCUGAGAACCCAGCCAGCUCGCCUUGACUCUAGCUCUGUAAAGUUUGGUACCCACCGAAAGGCGGGGAGCGGGGGGGCAGUGUCACGGGGACGGUGCCCGAGCUCCAAAACUUUACACUGAAAGUUAAUCCACUGAAGCGGAGCCCAAAAUAAGCGCACUGCCUAAUGUGCCGGGAACUGGCGGUCGCAAGGCCAGGCUGCUAGCGGAUGCCGGCGCAUCUCCGCCCGCCCGGAGCCUGCAUUUAGCGCCAGCGAGGGAGUCUGGGCUGGAGCGCUGCUUUCACACCGACUCGAGCCGCGAGUUUAUGGAUCUUGAUUGCACCCAGCAGGGAAUCCUUUUUAGUGAUGAGAGAAAAAAUAUUCAACAACCUGUCUUUGCAUUGGGUGUGUUGGACACACUUCCCUGCUUCGGAAUCAGACAUAUGUGAGUUGUGGGAGUAGAACUGCUGUCAGCAGGCCAGAAUGCGCCUCUCCUCUCCUCUCCUCUCCUCUUCUCUCCUCUCUUCUCCUCUUCUCUUCUCUCCUCUCCUCUCUCCUCUCCUCCCCGCGUCCCUGUGCAGGGGGGUAGGGGAGCCGUGAGGGGUUUGUGUGUGGCUGGCCCCAGCUGCUCAGGGAGAAGACAGACAGCCCCCACAACUCCGUGAGGCCCCCGCCUGGGCCCUGAGCCCUCCGCCUGCUCCGCCGCCCCGGCCACCGCCUCUCUCCUCGGCCUGCGCUGCGCGGCUGGGCCGUCCUCCGGGAGCCGGCUCCCGCGUGGGGCCCGCUGACAGCGCGCCCAGUAGAAUAUUGUAUUAGUUGGUUGUGAGCUGUGUUCUCGUCAGGGUAUCUGAGUUUCACAGAACAGACGGGGUGAGAGUUUUUGUGCUAUAUCCAGAUUGGCUUAAAAUAAUGUCGUUUUGUAGCUUAUUAAACCACAGAAACUACACCAAAGUCAUCCAGGCUGCUGCCAGCAAACUCUCUGAGUUGGGGUUGGGGUAAGAGCUGAGUUCAGCCUGGGGGUCAGGCCCCUCGCUUCCGGAACUGAAGCCAGGAGGAGAGGGUAAUUGACUACCCUCUGCUGGGCUCUGACUGUGGGCUCUGACCUUGGAAGGAGGUAGAAGGGUCUGCGGCAAGGCUGGGUCCUGCCCUGAGCUCAGAACUCCCUCUGGGUCAUCCCAGCGCUCAGGGACCACUUGCCCUGGCUUCGAGUUUCGGCCUGCAGGCACUGGGCAGCUGGGGUUGAGGCACUGCCCUGGGGGGAGUAGAGUGGGGGAGAGGCUGGGCACUGUCAGCAGCCAGGGCGAAAGGCUGAGACGUGGAGGGUCCAGACCCCAUCUGGGGAGGCCUACGUCCAGGCAGGGGAGAUGGUAGGGGGAGGGGACUGCCAUUGUUUUUCCCCCAGGAUUGCAAAGAAGAGGCAGAGCCUGGAAUUGCCAGAUAGUAAAGACUUAUGGGCAUCCCUCCCUUUCUUCCCCAUCCCCAGUCCCAAAAGAAUAGCUGUGUCCCCUGCCUGUGGAGGGGGGAGGUCUCCUAGAAGACAUGCUAUGGCAGCCCUGUUCCCAGUCACCCUGCACAGAUCUGAGCAUCAUAACGAGCUGCAGUGGAGGGCCUUCACUACCUUAAACUUGGCAACGAGCCCAUGAAGUAUGUGUUACAAUGAUCCCUAACUGCCAGAUGAGGAAACUAAGGCUCAGAGAGGUGGAGUGAUUUGUCCAAGAACACACAGCUACAAAGUGAUCACUUUGGAAUGUGAAGUGCAGCUAACCGCAGAAUGAGAGCUCUAACCACUGUACCACAGGGCUUCUCUGGAAUUUCAGUCUUAAGAAUAAAUGAUGAGGCCGGGUGUGGUGGCUCAUGUCUGUAAUCCCAGAACUUUGGGAGGCCAAGGUGGGUGGAUCACUUGAGGUCAGGAGUUGAAAACCAUCUCUAGGAAAAUACAAAAAUUAGCAAGGUGUGGCGGCACGUGCCUGUAUUCCCAGCUAUUCUUGAGGUUGAGGCAGGGGGAUCACCUGAGCCCAGGAAGCAUAAGUUGUACCGAGAUGAGAUUGUGCCACUGCACUCUAGCCUGGGUGAUAGAGUGAGACUUCACCAAAAAAAUAAAAAAGAAUGAAUGAUAUAUGGCUUUUCUGCUCCUGCUGUCUCCUGUUUGAGUCUUUUAGAAACAGAGGAGUCUAAGGAAAAUAAAAAUGACUCCAAAGGAAACCAAUCCCUGCCCCACAUUUCCUGAUUUGUCCACUGCCAUGCCUCUGACCUCCUGCCUCCCUAGCCUCUGGUGUCCAGCAGGAAAGAAUCCAGGGCUGAUCCAGUCUCUCCAGGGCCAUGUGAUACUCUGGCCUAGGGAAAGCUACCCUGCUCACUUUUCCUGGGUUCCUCGGGGUAGCUGAGCCUCAGCCACCAGGUCACAGACUUCCCUGUUGCCUUGAGGGACCUAUGGGACUAACAGGAGCUGCUCUUCUUCCUUUGACUCCUACCCACCCAGGUAUCCAAAAAUCUAGGGGUCCUUCUCAGCGACUCCCUUCCCCCACCCCACCGGGUCCAGUCUAUCCCCAAACACUGACUGAGGCUUCUCUUAUUUAUUUAUUUAUUUUUUUUGAGACAGAGUCUCACCCAGGCUGGAUUGCAGUGGCGUCAUCUUGGCUCACUGCAACCUCUACCUCUGGGGUUCAAGCAAUUCUCCUGCCUCAGCCUCCCAAGUAGCUGUGACUACAGGCACGUGCCACCACACCAGCUAAUUUUUGUAUUUUCAGUAGAGACCAGGCUGGUCUUGAACUCCCGACCUUAGGUGAGAUCCACUCGCCUCAGCCUCCCAAAGUUCUGAGAUUACAGGCGUGAGCCACCACACCCAGUACUUCUACCUCUUAAUAGCAUCUCCCCAGUUCUACCUCCUGACCCAGCCCAGGCUUUAUCACCUUUUGCCUGGAGAUUUUGGCAUUACUCAGCUCAUCAGCUGCUCAGCCUCCAAUCUCUCCUGCCCCAGUCCACACUGCACCAGAGGGAGCCUUCCAGGACGAUCAUGCCACUCUCCUGUGUGAAACCCUUAUCCAGGGCUCCUGCCCCUAUGCUAUAGGAUGGAGGUGUCAUGACUUAGUCUGGCUGACAAAAUCCCUUUACACAUCACCCCUGCUCACUUGUCUGCCUCAUCCCCCUGCACCUCAUAAACCCACCAUACAGGAUGAAUGACCCCCAAACCCAAGCUUCUUUGACACCUCCCUGCUUUGGCUCAGUUACAACUUCCUGCCUGAUACUUGAACUUUGUGGGAUCAACUUCACACCUCCCCAAAACAGACCCGCUGGGGACAAAGAGCAUAACACCCAGAGAGAGCAUCAAAGUAGUAGUCCAGUAGCCACGUGCAGGAGGCAGGGUCCAGGACCAUGCCCUCCAAGGCUGGGGCACACAGUGCCCCUCAGUGGUCAAGACUUGGGCCUGGGCCCAAAUCCUAGCUCCUAUAUUGGGGCUCAUCAUGAAACCACUCUGUGUCUCAGUGUCCUCACCUUUAAAAUGGGGUAAUAAUAGUAUCUACCUCCUAAAUUGGUUGCAAGGAUUAAAAUAGUUAACAUAUGUAAAGGGCCUGGAAGAGGCUUGUCAUACAGUGUUAGAUAAACGUUACUUGCUUCUAUUAUUACCGCCUUGCAUAGUCCAUCCAAGCCCUGCUUCCUUGGACCUUGACCCUUUGAUCUCCAAUGACCGAAGAAUUCUCUCUCUUGUGCACACAUCCUCACACAUAUGUGCUGAUGUAUACUACACGCACACCCAUGCAUACAAGCACACACAUGUGCCUCGCCAGCCUCCCCACCCUCAGAAACCUUGCACAUUGUGGUCCUUCUCAGUCAGUUUCAGAGCCCUGGUUUCUAUCUCUCUACCCAUCUGCCACAUCAGAGUUCAAAGUCAAAAGCUUCCCAAGAACCCCACCCAGGUUCCUCCUGCCACCCAGAGGAUUAGAUACACAAAUCCCCAGCCAGUCCUGGCCCCUGCAACACUGCUCAGUAGGUGGAGUGCUGGUGUCUGGUGGGGAAGGGCUAAGGCUGAUGCAGUGUAACCGGCAGGCCUGUGGACACACAGAGUUGGUCCCUGGGAAGAGGGGGAGUUCCUUCCAAAAUGCUUCCAGCUCAGGAAUGAUGCCUCCUUUUUCAGCUCUUGCUCCAGCGGAUCCCAGAUUCACACCCCCUGACCACCUAUAGCAGACCCAGGAAUAGGAGGUUCCACUCAAAUUAGAGAUUUUUGUUUCCUGGGGAGUUUGCUGUAGUCUGGUCUGCAAAGUGCCAAGGACAUACUAGACCUUCAGUCAUGGGCAGGAGGCAGGACUUCCCUCAUGGUCUCACAGAAGCUUCUAGACAGGGCCCUUACACAUCAGGAGCCUUUGUAACACCCAGCUCAGACUAGCACUUUCCCCCCAAGCAUCUAAUUGGGGGAAAGGGGUGGAAGUUGGAGUAAAGCAGAAUGGAAUUCAAAUCCAUCACCUCCCCACUGUGUGAUUUCAGGGACAUCACUUGACCUCUCUGAGCCUACUUCCUCUUGGAGACAAAAAUGUAUACUUAGGGCUAUUGCAGAGAAUGACAAGGAAAAUGGAUGAGAAUGUGCUGGUGCAUCUGAAGUAUCAGACAAAUGAAAGGUUGUUUACAUCACCUUGGAAGCUGCACUUGCUCUGUCCCCAGAUUCACUUUCAACCCUGUUCUGAGCCUCCAGGGGCCAUCCCUAGGAAGUGUGUCACCCAGGCUUUCCCACCCUUUGGCUUCCAGUCCAGGCCAGCUAAUAUGUGGCACCAGCAAGGAAUCAAGAGCAGGAAAAGAAACAGGUUGGGAACGUGUCCCCCAUCUCCUCUCUGACUCACUGCAUUCAGGCACUGUCUGAGCCAUUCUAGGGCCCCAGCUCUGUCCAGUGGCCCCUCCUCUGUCUUUCCUUCCCUUGCCCCUUCAGGCCUAAGAGCGGCCACAGCUUCCUUCCCCCUGUCGCUGUCCAGAUGCUUCAGCAUCUUGUUCUUUCUCUUAGCCCUGCCUCUCCCUCUCAAAUCGGAGCCUCUUUGGUGAAGGCUUUUCGGGUGUGCCAACUGCCCCAAGCUGACCCAGUGCAGAUCCUAACCAGCUCUACCAGCGUCUUCCAUGCUCACCCAGCUGGCCUAUGUCUUGAAGACGCCCUGGGCUCCCAGCUCUGCCACCCCAGCUUUCUGAAUCUCCAUGGAUCAGGAUCACUGGGGACCCAGCAGGGUGGAGCUAGAGAAGACAGGCAGGCAGGACAGAACCGGAAUGAGUCUAAGAUGACCGCCCCACUGGCCCCUGCAGCAGAGAGAGCCUCAUCCUGUGCCCUCUCUCUGACAGCGCCCCUCCUGGCAGAAUGGGCAGCCUAUCUGGGUAAAGACCUGCCCCGACCCCACAGCCAAGGGCAGCCCCUCAGAGAUUCAUGCCAGUAGUGGCCUUUGUUCCCCACACCUGGAGCUCAGAGCUUGCUUUGCCUGCAGUGGAAGCUCUGGUUUAAUUAAGGAUCUUAGGAGAGAAUUCUCUCUUGUUAUUUUCUGAAUAAAUUAAGGAAGUAACUUUGAUGCAAUAUCAUUUUCAUCUAAUCAGGAACAUUCUGAAAUUACCAUAUUGUUUUCCAUUAGAAACCCCAUCAGCCCCCAAAUCAGAUAACCAGGCUGGAGGCUGCCAGGGCCCCUGUGUCCUGGGGCGGGUGCGUGCUGUGCUGUGAGGACACAAAGGGACUCUCUCCUUCUGCCAUGAUCCCUUGUUAUGUUUAGGAGAUUGCUUGUGACCUUAGCAGGGCCCUUGGGCCUUGGCCAGGGCUGGGGAGGGGUCCCCCAGGCAAAGGGCAAAGGAGGGGCCCGGGAGGCCUGCAGAGCAGAUUGGGAUGGAUCAGAACCUUGCCGUCUGGGAGCUUCUUGACAGUUCAGCUGGGAAGAAGAGGUCAAGCUGCUUAUCUUGAGCCCCCAGUCCCACCCCUGCCUAGGCAGCCUCACAGGAAACAGGAAGGAGCUCAUCAGGUCCAAGACCACAGCCAGGGACAAAGGAAGGUGACCCGAGAUCCAGGAUCUGAGGAAAGGCUGAAGGCUGCUCAUGUGAGGUGCAGCCAGAGGCUGCUGAGAAUGUGCAAAAUCUUCUACAAAGUUCAUUUCCUCAAUCUCUGAAGCUCCCUGAAGCCUUGAGCUGAGGGGUGUCAAGACUGCAACAAGGUGGGGGCCAUGGAGGGGAAAAUGAGAGCAUCCCAGAGCCAGAGUGCCCUCAGAGAAACGUGCCCUCAGAGUGCCCUCAGAGACCACUCUCCAAGGUCUCCUCCUGGAGGGCACCUUCCAGCCCUCAUAGCAGGGGUGGGCACUGUGGCCAGCUGGAGCAGGAGUCCGGGACAGGACCCGAGCCGAGGCCAUCUGAGGCUGUGCAUCACACACAUGCAUCUCUCUACACACUGAGACAGACCCAAGUGCAUGCCUAAGAAAACCUCUCAAGAAGCCAAGACCUUAACCAGAACCCAGCAGGCACAACCUCCACCAACUCAUAUGGGUUCCACCUGGCUCUGCUCCUCCCGGUGCCAAAGCAGGAGCGUAAGCUGCCAGAGAGGGGUCCGAGACUCUCCGCAACACUCCCGCCACUGUCCCAGAACCAAGAGGACACAACUAGGCCACCAGGUGUUGUCAUCCAGCCAGAGCAGAGUGAAGAAGGAAAAGGAGGGGGUAGAGGAGAACGGCAAGGAGGAGGGUGGCUGCCACAUGGUGGAGAAAAGUGUGUGAGUGUGAGGGCAGACAUGGGAGUGAGGGUGGGGAAGGGUCCAGGAGUCAUAUCUUCCCAGAUCGGAGAAGUGGCCAGUCUGAGGGUCUUGCCAAGCCCCAGAGAGACUAAGGGAUGGGCUAACUGUUCUCCUGGCCUCUGGGCCCCAGAGCUCAGCAUAAGGCCAGGCACACAGAAAGCCCAGGAAACAUUUGCUAACCAAAAAAUGACUCAGAGAACAAUAGGCAAGAUACAGCCAGGGGUCCCUUAUAAGCGCAUGAGGGAAAGGGAGCUCUGAACAGCAGCUCAGAUCCACAAGGCAGGGAAAGCCACCACCAGGUAAUGUUCUGGAGAGCAGGGGUUAUGGCCUUUAGCCUGGGGCAAAUGCUAUCUGCCCCUCUUCCCUGCUGGGUUUGGGACUCUGAGCCCACAGACAAGGAGCAUGGCCAGAAAAGGCCACAGCUCACAGGUGGAUCUGCUCACUCAUUAUGCAAACCUGUCUUGAGGGUGUGCUCUGUGCAAAGCUCUGGGGUAAGGCCCCCUUGGCUUCCCAUGCUUGCAGGUGUGGGAUGGGCGUGGAUGGAGGCGGUGGACACCAGUGUGUGCAGGGGUGGCAUGGGUGCACUUGUAGACAAGCGGGAUGGGGAUAGGUGAGCAUGUGUGGGGAGGGCCUGAGUGGGCUUUCAGACAUAAAUGGGCAGCGGGGAGGGGCCCCUAGCCAGGAGGCUGGAGCGCACUCAACAGAUAGUCAAGGGUGGGAAUAUUUUCUCCGAGAGCCCUCCCACAGGACACCUUUCCCUAGAAGCUGUGGGCGUCCUGUUUCCAGGACUCCACCAAGCUCAUGUCAACCCCUUGAC